UUCUUUCAUUUGGCUCGGACGAUUUUGAAGAGCUCAAGGAGGGAUUUUCACCAAGCAACACUAGGUAAGUGAUUUCUUCCUAUUUUUGAGUUNNNNNNNNNNNNNNNNNNNNNNNNNNNNNNNNNNNNNNNNNNNNNNNAUGUGAUCUUACAUGGAUUUAGACAUGAAAAAUUAGUAUAAAUUUGGGAUUUUUGAGGAAUAUCUAGAAUUUAGAAUUUUGAACUUUUACCUUGAAUUUGAGCCUGAAAAUUAGAACAAAUUGUGUAUUUGAGAUAGUAAAGCUAUGGGUAGAAUUUAUCUUCGAGAAAUUUCGGAAUCCGGGCACGUGGACCCGAGGGCAUUUUGGUCAACUUUUCGAGGGGAGUUGGAAACUUAUAUAAUUUGAAUUGUUACAAGUAUUAUAGUGAAUUUUAUUGGUUUUCCCAUUAUUUGAAUAGUUUUGGGGCAUUGUGCAUCAAUUGGAGUCGUUGGAAGGGCUUGGAAGCCGGUUAUGGAAAUUUCGGAGCGAGGUGAGUCUCCUUUCUAACCUUGUAAGAGGGAAUUGUCCCCAUAGUGAAAUAAUUGGUUGUGUGGGGCUACGUACGCACGAGAUGACGAGAGUCCGUGCAUAGCUACUAUUAUGUGUAAGUUUAGGUAGUCUAGGAUCCAAAAGCAUGUUAUACUUGGAAUAUCUGUAAUCUUGUUGGCAGUUGAAUUGCUUAAAUCUUAUCGAAUUGGUAAAUGAAUUUCUAAAAGGAAUUAAACUUCAUUUCCUUAAAUCGCUAAAAGAGAAUUGGCUUUUAUUUGGAUAAAUGUUCCCCGAUAAAUUCUUAAUUUGCUGUUUGAGCAUGUAUUUCUGUGUACCUGCGUCGCAUGUAUGAUUCGCGAGUAGGGUGUUUGUUUAUUUAUGUUGACCGCGUCACAUGUACGACUCGUGAGCAGGGUAAUAGAUGCAUAUAUGGUUCACGCCAUUCAACCCUCGACAGUGCACAUUUUACAUUUCUGUUGGAUCGGGCCGUACAACCUCAGCAUGAUAUGCGCAUGCUUGUAUUGCUUGCCUGAGAAUUUUUAAUGUUGAUAAUUGCCUUACCUGGCCAGAGAUAAAUUGAUAAAGAUAAUGAAAAGUAAAUCUUUGGAAAUUUUUAUUAUUUGAGAAGUUGUUUUCUUGCUUUCCGGCUUUAUAAUUUUAAUUUUGCUUAUGAAUUCAUUAAUUUCUCACACUUUUACAAUAUUAUCAUUGGACCACUAAUAAGUGUCGAAGUCGACCUCUCAUCUCUGCUUCUUCAAGAUUAGACGGGAUACUCAUUGGGUACACGUUGUUUUCGUACUCAUACCACGCUUGUUGUGCAUUUUUGUUACACAGGCACGUACAUCUCUAGUGGCCUAAUGGGCGUAGCAGCAUGGUUGAUAUGGAGACUUAGGUGAGCUUCACUUCUUGAGACUACCCGCAGCCAGCAAAGUCUCUUUCAAAUUAUUGUAUUUACUUUCUGUCCAAUAUUGUAUUCCGGACGGUUGUUGUACUACAUUAUUUCCUAGAAAUUGCUCAUGUACUUGUGACACCGGG
rnacentral:lncRNA from 1 species